GGCGGGUAUAGCUCAGUGGUAGAGCACAUGCUUGAUGUGCAUGAGGUCCUGGGUUCAAUUCCCAGUACCUCCG
rnacentral:tRNA from 1 species